ensembl:lncRNA
AGACAGGUGAGGUGUGUGUGAGAAAGGUGAGGAGUGUGUGAGACAGGUGAGGAGUGUGUGAGACAGGUGAGGUGUGUGUGAGACAGGUGAGGUGUGUGUGAGACAGGUACAGGGUGAGACAGGUGAGGUGUGUGUGAGACAGGUGCAGGGUGAGACAGGUGAGGUGUGUGUGAGACCGGUACAGGGUGCGACAGGUGAGGAGUGUGUGAGACAGGUGAGGUGUGUGUGAGACAGGUGAGGUGUGUGUGAGACAGGUACAGGGUGAGACAGGUGAGGUGUGUGUGAGACAGGUGAGGAGUGUGUGAGACAGGUACAGGGUGAGACAGGUGAGGAGUGUGUGAGACAGGUGAGGUGUGUGAGACAGGUGAGGAGUGUGUGAGACAGGUACAGGGUGAGACAGGUGAGGAGUGUGUGAGACAGGUGAGGAGUGUGAGACAGGUGAGGAGUGUGUGAGACAGGUGAGGAGUGUGUGAGACAGGUGAGAAGUGUGUGAGACAGGUGAGGAGUGUGAGACAGGUGAGGAGUGUGAGACAGGUGAGGAGUGUGUGAGACAGGUGAGCUGAUGUAAAUCUGCAGUGGUGUGUAAG